GACGAACGCUGGCGGCGUGCCUAAUACAUGCAAGUCGAGCGGACUCAUCCCUUCGGGGAUGGGUUAGCGGCGGACGGGUGAGUAACACGUAGGUAACCUGCCUGUAAGAUCGGGAUAACUAUCGGAAACGAUAGCUAAGACCGAAUAAUUGAUUCUGGUGCAUGCCGGGAUUAUGAAACACGGUUCCGAAUUUAUUCGAGGGCUGUGGCUUACGGAUGGGCCUGCGGCGCAUUAGCUAGUUGGUGAGGUAAUGGCUCACCAAGGCGACGAUGCGUAGCCGACCUGAGAGGGUGAACGGCCACACUGGGACUGAGACACGGCCCAGACUCCUACGGGAGGCAGCAGUAGGGAAUCUUCCGCAAUGGACGCAAGUCUGACGGAGCAACGCCGCGUGAGUGAUGAAGGUUUUCGGAUCGUAAGCUCUGUUGCCCUAGACGAACAGCGAAGGGGAUUAACUGUCCCUUUGUGUGACGGUAGUAGGAGAAGAACGCCC
rnacentral:rRNA from 1 species